rnacentral:tRNA from 1 species
GCCUGGGUGGUGGAACUGGUAGACACCAGGGACUUAAAAUCCCUUGCCGCUCAGCGGCGUGCGGGUUCGAUUCCCGCCCCAGGCA